CACGUAGGGGGCGAGCGUUGUCCGGAAUCACUGGGCGUAAAGGGCGCGUAGGUGGCGGCCCAAGUCCAUGGUGAAAGCUCGAUGCUCAACAUCGAGUCGGCCACGGAUACUGGGUUGCUCGAGCACUGUAGGGGCAGAUGGAAUUCCGGGUGUAGCGGUGGAAUGCGUAGAGAUCCGGAAGAACACCGGUGGCGAAGGCGGUCUGCUGGGCAGUUGCUGACACUGAGGCGCGACAGCGUGGGGAGCAAACAGG
rnacentral:rRNA from 1 species